AACUGGGAUUAGAUACCCCACUAUGCCUAGCCUUAAACACAAAUAGUUAUGUAAACAAAACUAUUCGCCAGAGUACUACCGGCAAUAGCUUAAAACUCAAAGGACUUGGCGGUGCUUUAUACCCUUCUAGAGGAGCCUGUUCUAUAAUCGAUAAACCCCGAUAAACCUCACCAUUCCUUGCUACUACAGUCUAUAUACCGCCAUCUUCAGCAAACCCUAAAAAGGUACAAAAGUAAGCACAAUCAUAAUACAUAAAAACGUUAGGUCAAGGUGUAACCUAUGGAACGGAAAGAAAUGGGCUACAUUUUCUAAUCUAAGAAAAUCCAACACGAAAGUUAUUAUGAAACUAAUAACCAAAGGAGGAUUUAGCAGUAAACUAAGAAUAGAGUGCUUAGUUGAAUUAGGCCAUGAAGCACGCACACACCGCCCGUCACCCUC
rnacentral:rRNA from 1 species